UUAAGUUCAGCGGGUAUCCCUACCUGAUUCGAGGAGUUCCAAUGUCAUGUGAUGCCAGCCUCCCAGGCCCCGCACGUGGCAUGGGUCUGGCAGCCUUGCAGUGCCGGAGUCGAUACCGAGGUACCGCGCUCAGCGACGCGGCAGGCGUCUGGCCAGGGCUGGCAGCCUCUCCGCGCUCGAGGCGAUAAGCAAAGAAUAUC
rnacentral:misc_RNA from 1 species